CGUGUAGGCGGCGUGAUAAGUCAGAUGUGAAAGCCCUGGGCUCAACCCAGGAAGUGCAUUUGAAACUGUCUUGCUUGAGUACGGGAGAGGGAAGAGGAAUUCCUGGUGUAGAGGUGAAAUUCGUAGAUAUCAGGAGGAACACCGGUGGCGAAGGCGACUUCCUGGCCCGAUACUGACGCUGAGACGCGAGAGCGUGGGGAGCAAACA
rnacentral:rRNA from 2 species